UACAGAGGUCUCAAGCGUUGUUCGGAUUCAUUGGGCGUAAAGGGCGCGUAGGCGGCUCGGCACGUCCGUUGUGAAAUCGCUCGGCUCAACUGGGCGAGGUCAGCGGAUACGGUCGAGCUUGAGCCAGCUAGGGGGCAAUGGAAUUCCCGGUGUAGUGGUGGAAUGCGUAGAUAUCGGGAGGAACACCAGUGGCGAAGGCGGUUGCCUGGGGCUGUGCUGACGCUGAUGCGCGAAAGCGUGGGGAGCGAUCCGG
rnacentral:rRNA from 1 species